rnacentral:lncRNA from 1 species
CCACAGGCCAUCUCCCUGGGCCUCAUCCAGACAGCUGGACACUGAGCACAGCUCUGUUGUCCUCUUCCCUGGGCUGAGUGGACUCAGAGGUGCUGGGGACUGCAUGGCCGCCGGACGAGGCGGGGGCUUUCCAACCCAACACCACCGAGCCUGCCUCUUCCUGCCCUGGAUGCUAUGUCUUCCAUAGAGCCGCUUUUCCAACACAGCAGGUAUGAAGUAUCCACCGGCCAUCUGAAAAUAAUGCAGUAACUAAGAAAAACAGUGGCGAGAGGAAGGAGUGUCGAUGCCCCAAAUGGAUCAUCUUCCAGAGCACGUCUACACCGAGAUCAAGAAUGAAAAGGUCUUUGGAGUGAAUGCCUAAGGCCUCCAAGCCCCGGGUCUCCUCUGUAUCAGGCGCUCACGCUGUGGGAGCUGCUUUCUCUCUGCUCCACUUCUACAGAGAAAGAAAAUCACAAGCAUUUCCCACACUUCCCCCAAGCCUUGACGUAUCACAGUUCACUCAUGGAGUUGUCAACAGACACAGGCACACACAGACCAGACUGUGGGCUCGGGAGGCGGGAACAAACCCCUCCUUCAGGAGACCUGG